ACCCUGUGAAUCGCGCUUUUCUGUCGUCAAAUCUGAAACUUCCGCUGGCGGUUCGUUCGUGGUUUGUGGUGUGAGUAUUCGAGUAGAGAAGUUCUUUAUUCUAUGGUGGAGAACUUUGGAUCGUGUUAGGAGGAACGGCAGCAACAACUUCAAGCACCUGUCUUCACCUGGCAGGUCGCAUUUGAAACUCUGUGCAAGCUGUCUUUGUUUAAAUCACAAUCUGUGCCAAAUAGUAAAGAAAGUCUGGUGCCCUUUCUCACUUCAGGAGAAAUUGAAUGCGAGUCAUUCAAUGUCAGCUUGAAGAAUACCUGAAACAAUAGCACGCCAGUCCCCGUGUAAGCAGCUGCAUCUUUCCCUGACAUGGCACAAAGAUGGAAGAUCCGCACCCGUCAUCUCAUCGACCAACUUUCUGCGUGGGAAUCCCAGUUGUGAAUAGAAGAAUGCAACCAAGUAUUCCAGAGUGAAAAUCAAGCAUUUCCAGUUAGCAGAAAUGGUAGGCCUGCUGAUCAAAACAUGGCUCCAGGGCCCACAACGAGCUCUUUGCGGUAGACCAGCUGAAGUUCAGUUGUAAUUCCAAUCAGUAACUUUUGCAAGCACCACAAAUCAGUUGUGUGUGUGUGUGUAUUUUGAGAAAUUGUUCUAUAAGCUAAUGUGAAGAGUGGUGUAGUUUUCGCAGCCAUUAUUUAGGCAAAAUAAGUAUUUUAAAACAUUGGUUACUGGAAAGACUUAUUCAAAAGAGAGCAUUGUUAAUGUACCUUUGCUGUCUUUUAAAAAAACUUACAAUUCUGUCCAAGACUUAGCAAUGUUUGCUUUGUCUGAAAAUUCAGUGUGCUACAUACGGUGAUGCUUUCAAAGAAAAGCUAAUCAGCCGCUUUACCUCUUUAAGAACAUAGCAUUUACAAUUUUAACUAAAACAAUUUUAUUUUUGUUGCAUUAAUAAUGUAAGUUCUCUGCAAACUUACUAAGGACCCACUGUGUUAGUCGUGUUCAUGGCAACCAUACUCCAUCACAAUUGUAUUUAUUAAAUAAACUGUGUUUUUACUGUU